AUGAUGGUGACCCAAACCCUCACCAGAGUAGCAAUUGGAGGGCAAGUCUGGUGCCAGCAGCCGCGGUAAUUCCAGCUCCAAUAGCGUAUAUUAAACUUGUUGCAGUUAAAAAGCUCGUAGUUGAAUUUUAGCGUGUUCGAGUUUGCCAUUCGUUUGGCUUUUUCGAGUUCGCUUUUGGGUUUUCCCUUUUUACUUUGAGAAAAUUAGAGUGUUUCAAGCAGACUUUUGUCUUGAAUACUUCAGCAUGGAAUAAUAGAGUAGGACUUUGGUUCUAUUUUGUUGGUUAUUGAACCUUAGUAAUGGUUAAUAGGAACGGUUGGGGGCAUUCGUAUUUAACUGUCAGAGGUGAAAUUCUUAGAUUUGUUAAAGACGAACUACUGCGAAAGCAUUUGCCAAGGACGUUUCCAUUAAUCAAGAACGAAAGUUAGGGGAUCGAAGACGAUCAGAUACCGUCGUAGUCCUAACCAUAAACCAUGCCGACUAGUGAUUGGAGGUCGUCGUUU
rnacentral:rRNA from 1 species